rnacentral:misc_RNA from 1 species
AACAUACCUAAACGUUGCUUCGGCGGGAACAGACGGCCCCGUGAAACGGGCCGCCCCCGCCAGAGGACCCCUAACUCUGUUUCUAUAAUGUUUCUUCUGAGUAAAACAAGCAAAUAAAUUAAAACUUUCAACAACGGAUCUCUUGGCUCUGGCAUCGAUGAAGAACGCAGCGAAAUGCGAUAAGUAAUGUGAAUUGCAGAAUUCAGUGAAUCAUCGAAUCUUUGAACGCACAUUGCGCCCGCCAGUAUUCUGGCGGGCAUGCCUGUUCGAGCGUCAUUACAACCCUCAGGCCCCCGGGCCUGGCGUUGGGGAUCGGCGGAGCCCCCCGUGGGCACACGCCGUCCCCCAAAUACAGUGGCGGUCCCGCCGCAGCUUCCAUCGCGUAGUAGCUAACACCUCGCGACUGGAGAGCGGCGCGGCCACGCCGUAAAACACCCAACUCUUCUGAA